CCUACGUGUGGCUGCAGUGAGGAAUAUUGGUCAAUGGGCGGGAGCCUGAACCAGCCACGUCGCGUGAGGGAAGACGGUCCUAUGGAUUGUAAACCUCUUUAGGCGGGGAGCAAUGCCGGGCACGCGUGCCCGGAGGGAGAGUACCCGCAGAAUAAGCAUCGGCUAAAUCCGUGCCGGCAGCAGCGGUAAUACGGGGGAUGCGAGCGUCAUCCGGGUUGAUGGGGGUUACAGGGUGGGUAGGCGGAAUGUUAAGUCAGCGGUAAAGUGUGGGGGCUCAACCCGGGCCGGCCGUUGAAACUGGGGAGCUUGAGUGGGCGAGAAGUAUGCGGAAUGCGUGGUGUAGCGGUGAAAUGCAUAGAUAUUACGCAGAACUCCGAUUGCGAAGGCAGCAUGCCGGCGCCCGACUGACGCUGAGGCACGAAGGCGUGGGGAUCGAACAGGAUUAGAUACCCUUGUAGUC
rnacentral:rRNA from 1 species